rnacentral:sRNA from 1 species
AACCCCCAGCCAGGCUGGGGGUUCAAUAAAGUUUUCAGCUUUGGGCCAGUUAUAAAAAACCCCUUUUGAUUUGUUAAAACACCUUGCGGUCUGGCAACUGCGAAUGUCAGCUCGUAUG